rnacentral:rRNA from 1 species
GAUGAACGCUGACAGAAUGCUUAACACAUGCAAGUCUUUGGCGAAGCUGUGCUUGCACAGCCUAGCCAAGGCGGACGGGUGAGUAACGCGUAAGGAACUUGCCCUGCAGUCAGGGAUAACAGACGGAAACGACUGAUAAGACCUGGUAAAGUCAGGCGGACUCACGUCCAGCCUGAUGAAAAGAGAUGCUGCAGGAGAGCCUUGCGUCCUAUUAGCUUGUUGGUGGGGUAACGGCCCACCAAGGCGAUGAUAGGUAGCCGGCCUGAGAGGGUGGACGGCCACAAGGGGACUGAGAUACGGCCCUUACUCCUACGGGAGGCAGCAGUAGGGAAUAUUGGACAAUGGGGGCAACCCUGAUCCAGCAAUUCUGUGUGCACGAUGAAGGUUUUCGGAUUGUAAAGUGCUUUCAGCAGGGAAGAAAAAAAUGACGGUACCUGCAGAAGAAGCGACGGCUAAAUACGUG